rnacentral:siRNA from 1 species
GUUGAACGAGGUUAAGAACUAAUU